rnacentral:other from 1 species
UUUAUCCUGCCUUGUGCGUGAUAAAGCACAUUUGGGCCUACACGCAGAUAAAUGGAGUCCACAUUCCGUAUCGGGGCGCAGACCUCCCCUACGUGGCCGACUUUGUGCCGCCGCGCCAGGGACGCUGGGAGCGACGAGGAUCGGAGAGGACACCUCCCUGGAAGAACAGGGCUAAAACAUGCUUUACACGGCAAAGGUGGGAGUUAU